AACGAACGCUGGCGGCAGGCUUAACACAUGCAAGUCGAGCGCCUCGCAAGAGGAGCGGCAGACGGGUGAGUAACACGUGGGAACAUACCCUUUACUACGGAACAACUCCGGGAAACUGGAGCUAAUACCGUAUGUGCCCUUUGGGGGAAAGAUUUAUCGGUAAAGGAUUGGCCCGCGUUGGAUUAGCUAGUUGGGUGGGUAAAGGCCUACCAAGGCGACGAUACAUAACUGGUCUGAGAGGAUGAUCAGCCACAUUGGGACUGAGACACGGCCCAAACUCCUACGGGAGGCAGCAGUGGGGAAUAUUGGACAAUGGGCGCAAGCCUGAUCCAGCCAUGCCGCGUGAGUGAUGAAGGCCUUAGGGUUGUAAAGCUCUUUCACCGAUGAAGAUAAUGACGGUAGUCGGAGAAGAAGCCCCGGCUAACUUCGUGCCAGCAGCCGCCGUAA
rnacentral:rRNA from 1 species